GUGAGAUUUGAGCAGCCCAAUUGAUAUGAACGAGUAGAAACAAACGCAGAGUAGUCCAAACUCAAAACAGAAUGAAGGGAAGAUUGUGCCGCGAAGGUAUGAGGCUUGAACAUGCGUAUGGGCAUUUGAACUUCAUCGGCCAAUCCAGAUAGGAAGAAACUUAAGCCUUGAUCCUUCCUAAUACCCGUUUUUAGAUAGAAAACGUCAAAUGCAUCCAAAUAUUCCUGCAGCAAACCCACCUGCUUCAGUUUUUUAAAGUAAGCCAAUGGAUCAUCAAAGAUAUGUGAUCCAAAUUUUGCUCUAAACCCCUGCACAUAACCUUCCCAAUCCACGCAAGCCCUGCACCCUUGAUCCUUACAUACCCUUGAUGCCACUGAACUACCUUCUCCUUUAAGUAUAGUGCAGCCACUUUAACCCUAUUCUCUAGUGGUGUAUCAGUUACCUCAAAACAAUAUUCCGCUUUAACUAAACAGGAAAGCAUCUCCAUUAAAACGUAGAAAAUCAACCCCAGGAAUGGAUUUCACGCAGUGACGGAGCCAAAAAUUCAACAUAAUAAGAACUCUAACGUG
rnacentral:misc_RNA from 1 species